rnacentral:lncRNA from 1 species
UUUAUACACAUCCUUCAGCUUUAUUUUAAUAAUGAAAUAAUGUAAUGGUUAAUUCUUAAUUGUAAGAACUGUUUUUCAAUAUCGUUUGUAACAGCAAAAGGCAGUUUGAAAAUAUCUUUCCAGUUCAGAUUCUCUCCACCUAAAAUGUUAAUCAGAAAACUCAGUACACAAUCUUUUGGUCAUUCAUGGUUUAAGUAAAAUGUAGACAUGAUUGUAUAAAAGUACGUCCCUUUAGUAAAAGAUUUUGAUGCUUCUUUCACUGCCGAAAUUACAUUGGCAAGUUUAUAAAAAAAAAAUUGUGUUAAUGUGAUAGGUUUUCUUUGUCAAAUGAAAGGUCAAUUUAAUUUUUGUAUAUUAGAUCAAUUGUAUUCUUGAUAAAAUACUGAUUUGUG